rnacentral:rRNA from 1 species
AACGAACGCUGGCGGCAUGCCUAACACAUGCAAGUCGAACGAGACCUUCGGGUCUAGUGGCGCACGGGUGCGUAACGCGUGGGAACCUGCCCUUAGGUUCGGAAUAACUCCCCGAAAGGGGUGCUAAUACCGGAUAAUGUCUUCGGACCAAAGAUUUAUCGCCUUUGGAUGGGCCCGCGUUGGAUUAGCUAGUUGGUAGGGUAAAAGCCUACCAAGGCGACGAUCCAUAGCUGGUCUGAGAGGAUGAUCAGCCACACUGGGGCUGAGACACGGCCCAGACUCCUACGGGAGGCAGCAGUGGGGGAUAUUGGACAAUGGGCGAAAGCCUGAUCCAGCAAUGCCGCGUGAGUGAUGAAGGCCUUAGGGUUGUAAAGCUCUUUUACCCGGGAUGAUAAUGACAGUACCGGGAGAAUAAGCUCCGGCUAACUCCGUG